GAUGAAGAACGCAGCGAAAUGCGAUAAGUAAUGUGAAUUGCAGAAUUCAGUGAAUCAUCGAAUCUUUGAACGCAUCUUGCGCUCCUUGGUAUUCUGAGGAGCAUGCCUGUGUGAGUGUCAUUAAAUUCUCAACUACACUGACUUUGAAUUGGUGUGGCUUGGAUUUGGGGGGAAAAUUGUUGUGGGCUUUUUGUAUAGUCUGCUCCCCUGAAAUUGAUUAGCGGUACCUUUGUGGAACUGUCUACAGGUGUGAUAAUUAUCUACAUCUUAGACAUCUGCUGGAAUGCUGCUUUCUAAACCUUACUUGUAUUGACAAUCUUGACCUCAAAUCAGGUAGGACUACCCGCUGAACUUAAGCAUAUCAAUAAGCGGAGGA
rnacentral:misc_RNA from 1 species